UGGGGAAUAUUGCACAAUGGGCGAAAGCCUGAUGCAGCGACGCCGCGUGAGGGAUGACGGCCUUCGGGUUGUAAACCUCUUUCAGCAGGGAAGAAGCGAAAGUGACGGUACCUGCAGAAGAAGCGCCGGCUAACUACGUGCCAGCAGCCGCGGUAAUACGUAGGGCGCAAGCGUUGUCCGGAAUUAUUGGGCGUAAAGAGCUCGUAGGCGGUUAGUCGCGUCUGCUGUGAAAACUCGAGGCUCAACCUCGGGCUUGCAGUGGGUACGGGCUGACUAGAGUGCGGUAGGGGUGACUGGAAUUCCUGGUGUAGCGGUGGAAUGCGCAGAUAUCAGGAGGAACACCGAUGGCGAAGGCAGGUCACUGGGCCGCAACUGACGCUGAGGAGCNACNGCAUGGGACGCAGACGAGGAUUAGAGUAGCCCUGGUAGUCCAUGCCGUAAACGUUGGGC
rnacentral:rRNA from 1 species